CCGUCGACAACUGCGGCCACGGCGGCGAUCAAGCGCGGCGCUGGAUCCACAGGCGGAGACCCUCGGUAAGUUCCUUCCCCCUUCCUCUUCCUCUUCUUCGUUUCUUUUAUUUUGUUAUCAUGGGGUAAAAAGAAACGGGGUUAGGGUUUACCUUGCUCGGGAAAGAACCAGUUGUGGGUUCUGAAAACCCUAGCCGAUGAGCAAGAAGAAGGGGGGCGUCGACGGGGUGAUGUAGACGUGAUGAUCUUGUCUCGGGUGAGAGUUGGAUCGGCCGAUCGGGGGGCGUGAUGUAGCCGUGGUCACCGUCGACGGGGAGGCACAAAUGGUCGGCAAGGAGGAGCCGGAGAGGAGAGGGCGGAGGUCGAGGAGAGGAGAGGAGAGGGGAGACAAGAAAGGGGAAGCGGCGAUGCCAGAAGCCCUGGACGAAGCCAAUGUUUUAAGUUCGACCGGGCUGAUGGGGAAGUGCUUCGACCGGGCUGAUGGGGAAGUAAUGAGGUAAGUCGGUCUGCAAGCCAAAUUUCAUAUCAAACUAUUUUUUAUCUAUAAGGCCGAUUGCACCGAACUUGAUGUCUCCCAGCUCCCCACUCACGAGGACAAAAAAAAAUCUCAGACCUUCUUCCGAAAUCCAAUCCCAUUGCAGGAAAGCAGCAGUAGGGGUGCAAAUAGGUCAUGACCGGCACCAUGAGAUUUGAAAAUGAGAAGAAGAAAUUUGAGUUUUCUGGAG
rnacentral:lncRNA from 1 species